UUCGGACCUCCACGCCAUUGGAUGAGCCCAAGUCGGAUUAGCUUGUUGGUGGGGUAAAGGCCUACCAAGGCGACGAUCCGUAGCUGGUCUGAGAGGACGAUCAGCCACACUGGGAUGAGACACGGCCCAGACUCCUACGGGAGGCAGCAGUGGGGAAUAUUGGACAAUGGGCGCAAGCCUGAUCCAGCAAUGCCGCGUGUGUGAAGAAGGCCUGCGGGUUGUAAAGCACUUUCAGUGGGGAAGAAAAAGUCGAGCUUAAUACACUCGAUUCUUGACGUUACCUACAGAAGAAGCACCGCCAACU
rnacentral:rRNA from 1 species